rnacentral:rRNA from 1 species
CCUACGGGCGGCAGCAGUGAGGAAUAUUGGUCAAUGGGCGCGAGCCUGAACCAGCCAAGUCGCGUGAGGGAAGACGGUCCUAUGGAUUGUAAACCUCUUUUGUCGGGGAGCAAAAGACGCCACGCGUGGCGUUCCGAGAGUACCCGAAGAAAAAGCAUCGGCUAACUCCGUGCCAGCAGCCGCGGUAAUACGGAGGAUGCGAGCGUUAUCCGGAUUUAUUGGGUUUAAAGAGCGCGCUGGUGGUUAAUUAAGUCUGAUGUGAAAGCCCACGGCUUAACCGUGGAGGGUCAUUGGAAACUGGUGGACUUGAGUGCAGAAGAGGGAAGUGGAAUGCCAUGUGUAGCGGGGAAAUGCAUAGAUAUCACGCAGAACUCCGAUUGCGAAGGCAGCAUACCGGCGCGCAACUGACGCUCAUGCACGAAAGCGUGGGUAUCGAACAGGAUUAGAUACCCCAGUAGUC